rnacentral:lncRNA from 1 species
GGUGCUUAGCAGAAUCCUCAGCUCACAAGAUGAAUAAAUGCAGACUAAAUGAUGCACAAAUAAUCUUCACACACAACCAUCAACACAUGGAAAGACUGCAGGACGGCCAGAUCCCAAGCUAACAAACAGGGGAAGAUGAUGUUUCAAAUGAUCAUCUGAAUGCUGGGUUUCCACCUUCCACCAGGAAGUCAUAUGGUCAAAUUAUCCCGGAUCCUGAAAUAUAUCUUUUGAUAGAAAUGACUCUGGUACUUUCCGCAACUUACUUUCUAUGGAGCACUUUCCUGAAACAAGAUUUGUGUUUAAAUAUUCCUCCUUCUACAAAGUAUUAAACAGUAGUAAGUUCUGCAACGUUGACAAUGGAAACCUGGCAAUGUGCCCUUGUUUGACUAUUAAGGAAUUGCUUCCAAGUACCACAGGGCCUUGAAGACCAAAAUAACACAAUUACCUGGAAGGUGAACAAUGGCAACUUAUCAGGUGUGGUAAACACUUUUUUCCCAAGAAGAUCCUUUAUUCCUUCUGAAUGCACAUCAAGAAGGAGUGAAUACAUAAAUCACAUAUUUGUUAAUAA